rnacentral:rRNA from 1 species
CCUACGGGUGACUGCAGUGAGGAAUAUUGGUCAAUGGACGAGAGUCUGAACCAGCCAAGUAGCGUGAAGGAUGACUGCUCUAUGGGUUGUAAACUUCUUUUAUAAAGGAAUAAAACGAGGCACGUGUGCCUUUUUGCAUGUACUUUAUGAAUAAGGAUCGGCUAACUCCGUGCCAGCAGCCGCGGUAAUACGGAGGAUUCGAGCGUUAUCCGGAUUUAUUGGGUUUAAAGGGAGCGUAGGUGGGUUGUUAAGUCAGUUGUGAAAGUUUGCGGCUCAACCGUAAAAUUGCACUUGAUACUGGGAGUAUUUAGUACAGUUGAGGUAAGCGGAAUUCGUUGUG